GGGCGUGGAGAUAGUUUUCAUUACAAUUGGGAGAUGGAGGAGGAGCAAGAGUUCUGGUGAAGCCCGGAUCCUGCCUGGUGACAUUCAGCCCUUGCUUACAUGUCCACUGGAUGAUGGGCUGGUGCUGAGAACCACACUGAAGCCCUCUGUGUUUGGUCUUGAAUUCUCAGUUCCCUGAGUUGAUUGAUUUCUUUUUACUGUCUCUCAAGGCCCUAUUUUGCAUAUUUACUUGCCCCUUUAUUUCCCAAACAUAAUGUGGCAGGUGUUUUGCCGAACUGGUGGAGAGGAGACAAGGAGUGUGGAAACAAGAGAAGAGCGGAAGAUGAGGGGGAGACCAUGUGACUUGGGGGGCUGAAUAAAAAUUGCCUUCUUCUUAUAAAAUAGGCUCCACAGGAGCGAGAAAGGAGCUACAUGAAGGCAUUUUAAGUCAAGACAGAAUCCUGCUUGCCCCAGGAGAAGGUUGCAUCAGCAAUGUGUAGUCUGAGUCCAGCUCUGUCAUGGAUCACAGUCCCUGUGUUUCCUGAGAAAUGACUUGCCUUCCAACAAGAAGUGAGGAUCAAGAGAAGGAGAUAGAUAAGCAAUAUCUUGAGGUUCCGAAGCAGUCUGCUGUGAAUCCAGUGCUGUCAUCAUCAGUGACUUCAGGAUGGGGACAUUCAGAGAUGGACUAACAUUUAGUGAGCACUCUACGUUAAGGUUAUUUUGUGCUUUAAAACUAAAGAAUGAAGCAGAAAACAUCAGUGUUUUGAGGCUUCUGAAGGAAGAAUUGUGAUACAGACUGCGUGAUUCCUGGCGCGGUCUCGGAUCCUUUCUGAAGCAGCACUCACCCACA